UCCAGCAAGGACCAAGUAGGCAGGAAAAAGAGUCAGGGCUGGGGAACUCUUAAAGAUUUUUAUUUUUUUUCAGAAAUGCUCAAGCAAAAAGGAAAUGUGUAAGGAUCCAUCUCUCACUGUAAUGCAGCCACAUCCAACCUGAGGAUAGGGAUAACUCUGAUACGCUCCCGAUGGGGCUGAUGCUCACCGUGAAUCCCCUGGAGUGAAUAAACAUGAAGCAUCUCCCAAGCUGCAGGCUUAUGGCCAGACCCUUGAUCUUAUUCCUGGGGUGGAUGCAUGGGUCCUGCCCACCCAAAUGAAGUACGAGCCGUGGAGUGGUGCAUUGACAAGGGCUGCAGAAGCUGUCAUCUCCCGUGACCUCUCCUGAUCGUGACACCACAAAGGAAAAAAAAAAAAAAAAAAAGAAAAAGGCCACGCUAGGCUUUGAAAUGUGCAACCACCUGAGCUCCUCCUGGUGCAUUCCAUCUAUCCCUUGGUCUCCCACUGAGCCUUCUGCUGUGGGAUGCAGGCAACGAUUCCUCUAAAGCAGCAUGGGGAGAGUACAGUUUCCAACACAGGACCCUCUUUCCAUGCAUCUUGGAGCCCAAGGAAGGUAAGCAGUGGCUCCAAAAGCUCCCCCUGAGGGACGUCAGGGAGAGGAGGGGGGCACACCGAGGUGGCUGUGGUGGGACCAGGUCGUGGUGGUCGGGGCUGCCCUGGGGUAAGGCUCUGCAGAGGAUAGGGGCCCCGGCAGCCUUGCACGAUCAGCUCCCGAACCCGGUGUGUCUUUCAGCAACGUGUUUCACCACCUGCUCGUUCGGGCCCCCGGCUGCCAUGCUGCCUGUCAGUGCUUUUGCUCGGCUUUCCAAAAUGUGCCUGUCCGGCUCCUCUGGCAUCCAACAUGCUGCUGCCUGCCUCGUGCGCGCUGCAGAUUCGGGUUCCUCCUUGGAAAGCAUCCACGUCGCCAGCUAUUUUUGGAACAGAGGCAUCUAUUGUCUUGUGCCGUUCCCUGCUGGGUUAAGCUCACAGCUGCCGAGGCCCCUUCCCCCAGCACCCUCUCCCUUCCUUCCCAUGGCACGGCUUCUGUGUGCCAGGCAGCAUCUCCAGAUAUGCUGCUAGAGCACCCCGAGGCAGG
rnacentral:lncRNA from 1 species